rnacentral:rRNA from 1 species
AUGGAUGAGAAAUACAGAGCACUCUUUGAUGCAAUCAGCAAGAAGGCUGGAAACUCAAGACCAGAGACUGAAGCCAAGGAAGAGAUUCACCCAUUGCAAAUGCCACAUGUGAAGCUAGAGAGUGUGGAAAAUUAUUCCAGUUGGGCAGAGCAUGCCGAGACCAUCCUGAUCUCGAGGAACCUUGAGGGGUAUAUACUGGGAACAACGGAGAAGCCUAUUAAGGAAAAUUCGAAAGAGGCCCAAAAGUGGAAAGCAACAAAUGCAUUGGUGAGAGCUUGGCUUUUAAGCUCAAUAUCAUCUUAG